rnacentral:lncRNA from 1 species
CUUUCCUGUGGGAGAGAUUGGGCAACAGUUUUGGAAGAAACAGCUUAGAAUUGCUGUUACAAACUUAAUGUUCUUAGUGCUCAUUGUCUAUUUUUAAGCAUAACACUUUCUACACUCCUUAAAAAAUGAUUAUAUGGAAGCCCUCUCAUGGUGCAAGAACAAGAUUUUCGUUAUGGAAAACUGAUAUUUAAACAGAGCUGUUUAAAAACUUUAAAAAAUAUUUCUAUCAUGCAUUGAUUUGGUUCCAAAUAAAACAUACGAGUUAAUGUUGAAGAAGAGCUUUGAGGAUGUAAAAUAGAUAUAUGUUCGUGGGAUAUUAAGUAAUAUGCAAUUAUUUUUUUUGCAGUUUGGAUGCCUUUCAUAUAGAAAUGAGUUUUUUCACUGCUUCAUAGAAGCACAAAUGAAAAUGUUCUCCUACUAGCUGGCCCUGGCAUAGCUUGCCGGCUCCAACUGUUCCUCAAAUGCUCUUUUAUUCCAACGAUCUGAAGCUCUAAAUUUAUUCACUAGCCACAACCUUGACAUCAUCCAGGUCUCUACACUCUCUUUUCAAAAUUCUAAGUGUUUUGCUUUCUUAUUCCUUACCAAGUUAUUACAGGAAUCAUCAGAUAAAUCCGUUAGUCCCACAGUUACUCUUCUGCCAGCACUUAAGAUUUCCUGUUUCCAUGCCUUCCCUCCCUGUAGCUCACACCAAAUGCCAACCUGGAAUUGCUUACAGCAUCUGUCCUAUCUGCUCGUGGUGGGUUUAAGUAUGCCAAAGAAUGCCAAAAAAUAAAAGGAUUCAGCACUGAGAAACAGAGGGAAUGACAAGCAGGAAGUGCUGUAAGCACUGAAGAGUGAUGACUUUCCACGGCAGAAACGGGCCAAGUGAGCCUUGAAGAGUGUGUAAGAUUGUCAUUCACAGAUGAAGCUGGGAAGAUACAAGCAAAAGCCUCCACAGACACUCAUCCUAAGGCAUACCUUGAAAUUUAAAAGCAGUUACAAUUUACUAUACUAAAAGCUCAGUCAAGUCACAUCUAACUUUGUAACACAAGAAAGGCAACUCGUGGCUGUCACAGUCAAACAUCAACAAAUCUAAGGAAAGAAUCAUAAAUAAUGAGAGAUAUAUUCAUUUCUCUACUGAGGUUUGAAAGAGCUAGAUCCUAGUUGCAGUUUGCAAGGAAGUGCCAGAAAUCAGCAUGUCGUCCACUCAGCAUCCGCCUCCCUAUUCUAUUUCCUAACUUUGUCCAGAUUUUCAUUCAGGUGUUCACUCCUCCCACAUGCAGGAGAAGCUAGCUCAUGAAUUAAUCAGUAUAAUCCAUGCCAUUGCCUAUUCUAUGACUGGCAUAUGAAGUCAGAGAGGACAAGUGCCCUAACUCAGUCCCGUUCCAGGACACGCUUAGAGAUGAGGAUGGCAGUUCUUUCUCAUGAAGUGAAUGCCAAUAUGAAAAAUGGAAACCCCAGUGGCAGCAGGAGCUGACUGAUGACUUUGACAGAAUGUUCAAGUGUCUAAAUGUCUUCUAAGGACUUUGCCUUGUCCUAACAAACUCCCUUUUAUGACAACAGAAACUCUUGAGUUUAGUGUGAAUUUGGAUCUCUGACAACUAAGCAGAUGUGGAAACCAACAUAACCGAAACUGGGAACAAAAAGAGGUUUAGUUGAACUUACAGUUGUUGAUUUGAACUACAAGAUUUCCCCAAGGACAGCCCUGGCUCUCUGGAACUCUAAGGGGGCUUCUGGAAUGCAUUUGAUUUAUUUAUUUGUCAUGAUCACCAUUACUGGUUCUAUGGUUCAGUUAAUACAGGGUACAAACUAAGUUUAUGUGAGACUUGGUCCACAAAGAUGCCAGUUCUGUUUCUCAACUAUUU